rnacentral:rRNA from 1 species
GGCAACCCUGACGGAGCAACGCCGCGUGUGGGAGGACGGCCUUCGGGUUGUAAACCACUUUUCUCAGGGAAGAAACCUGACGGUACCUGAGGAAUCAGCCUCGGCUAACUCCGUGCCAGCAGCCGCGGUAAUACGGAGGAGGCAAGCGUUAUCCGGAAUUAUUGGGCGUAAAGCGUCCGCAGGUGGCGAUUCAAGUCUGCUGUCAAAGCACGGGGCUUAAUUCCGUUAAGGCAGUGGAAACUGACCCACUCGAGGGUGGUAGGGGUAGAGGGAAUUCCCGGUGUAGCGGUGAAAUGCGUAGAGAUCGGGAAGAACAUCGGUGGCGAAAGCGCUCUACUGGACGGCAACUGACACUCAGGGACGAAAGCUAGGGGAGCG